AACGAACGCUGGCGGCAUGCCUAACACAUGCAAGUCGAACGAGACCUUCGGGUCUAGUGGCGCACGGGGGCGUAACGCGUGGGAACCUGCCCUUAGGUUCGGAAUAACUCCCCGAAAGGGGUGCUAAUACCGGAUAAUGUCUUCGGACCAAAGAUUUAUCGCCAUUGGAUGGGCCCGCGUUGGAUUAGCUAGUUGGUAGUGUAAAAGCCUACCAAGGCGACGAUCCAUAGCUGGUCUGUGAGGAUGAUCAGCCACACUGGGGCUGCGACACGGCCCAGACUGCUACGGAGAGCAGCAGUGGGGAAUAUUGGACAAUGGGCGAAAGCCUGGUCCAGCCAUGCCGGGGAAGUGAUGAAGGGCUUAGGGUUGUAAAGCUCUUUUACCCGGGAUGAUAAUGACAGUACCGGGAGAAUAAGCACCGGCUAACUACGUG
rnacentral:rRNA from 1 species